rnacentral:lncRNA from 1 species
GGGGAAGGACGCCGGGCGGGCACACUUGGGAGACGUGGUGGCGGUGACCAUCGCUCGCGAUCGCCGGUCGCCGUCCAACACGCCCUAACACUCCUCGGCAGAUCGCCGAUGUGCCCGUGUGCUCUAGUGUUCGAUGCGUUGCACAGGUAGGCGCAGGGUCCGUCGAGCUCGCAUUCCCUUUCCCUCGGCGUCGCUCUCCCUUAGAGGCCCGCCUUGCUGCGCGCGCAUGCGCCAGCCGGUCCGGUCCAAGCAGCGCGGACGAAGGCGACGGCCACCUCCAUGGCGGCGCUGAAGGAAGGGGACGCGCACUCUCGGGGUGUACGAAGGCGGAACCGUUCUACCACGAGGGCAACCGCACAUGCACGCCACCUGUUCGAGCGAAUGCCUGAAUCCCUGAACCAGUGAGGUAACGCUCCAUAAGUUUUCUAUCUCUGUUUUUUUUAUCAUGCGCUUUAGAUUGAGAGUUCGAAUUGGUUGUGUUUUCUGCUUAUUCAGCAGCAAUUUCAACUCUAAAGCUAGCAAAUACAAUACAAGUACAACCAUGAAUAGCAAGUUCUUUUAUCUGGGUGAGCUGAUUUUGGUGAUGUUUCUUGUGUUUGUGUUUUGAGAUAGACUGACAAAUCAUUAUCAUUGACCAUCGCAAGGAGACAAGGACCAGUGCCAUUGCGAAACUAGAGCAAACUAGAUUGGGUUGUGCCUGCCUUGUACAUGGUAGACUUACCGCAACCAUGGUGAAAAUUUGAUCCUACUAACUGACAUUCCACUUUUUUCUGGGCCCAUCCGCACCCACAACAAUGUAUAUAGCCUCAUUAUUAUCUGAAGUGCCAGUGGGUAAGACGGGUAUAGCUGGACAACUUCUUUCUGACAUGACAUGGAUGAGAUGAGUAGGUCGACUCUUAUUCCUUCCAUGUUGAUCUGCUAUUUCAUUUUAUUGUAUUCCCUGAGUCCCAAAUUAAAGGCCGUUUUGGCUUUUCUAGGUGCAUAACUUUUGCUAUGCGUCUAGAUAUACGAUAUAUCUAAAUACGUAGUAAAAACUAUAUAUCUAGAACAGCCAAAAGGACCUAUAAUUUAGAAACAAGGGAUUACUUACUAAUGUGAAAUCAUUAGCAUCAUUCUUAAGUUAUAAAGCAACAUAACAAUGAACUGAUGCAAGAAAAGUGUGUCAACUUAGUAAUGUACUGCAAUAUGCGCACAAACUUAUAAGAGAAACUCAGAGAUACUUAAUUAUUCCUUUAUUUAGAAAAUUCCCUGUAACUAUAUACAUGAUAUUCACACCAAGGUCAAGAAAGAAGCAAAACUUCCAUAAACCACCCGAAAAUUGUAACUACUGCAUGCAAAAUAACAGAGUUUCUUUUCUAUUCUUAAUUAGCAAGUUAGACUCUCAUGAAGCAUGCAUUAUUGAAUAUACAAUCAUCAUGCAUUAUCUUACAUUUCUCACUAGAGAAGAACAUUCAUCCGAGAGAGGAUCAAUUAAACACAAGGAUUUCCCCAAUGGCCGCUGUCGUUGAACUUGCCUCACUUUGGUGCAUCACUGGUCACACCAAUGUUGUCAAGCCAUAGCACUAACUGAUGUGUUAAUGGCCGCAGUUUUGGUGAAUCACUUAUGCACAGACAAGCAACAUCAAUCAUCUGUAUCAUUUGCGUCUCAAAUUUCUUAUCAUACAUUGCACGGUCCAAGACAUCAGCUUCACGGUUUUCCUUUUUCAUAUGUGUAACCCAUGAGACUAACUCCCGUGCUCCCUUCGGCUUGCACAUGUCUACAGGCCUCUUUCCAGUUAAUAACUCCAGAAGGACAAUGCCAAAACUAUAAACAUCACCCUUGAAAGUGGCUACUGAAGACUGGCCGUACUCAGGGGGAAUAUAACCCAGUGUGCCAACUAGGUCAGUGGUCACAUGUGUGGCAUAGGGACAAAUAAGCCGAGCAAGCCCAAAAUCAGCCAAAUGGGCUUCAAAAUUCUCAUCUAGAAGGAUGUUACUUGACUUGACAUCACGAUGGAGAAUAUGAGGUUGGCAUGACAGAUGUAGGUAUGCCAAACCUCUUGCUGCUCCUUUUGCUAUCUGAAGCCUUCUUGGCCAGAUUAAUCUAGAGGGACCAUCUGGCUUUUCAUGAAGCCAAUGGUCUAGGCUGCCAUUUUCCAUGAAAGAGUAGAUCAGGAGUCUAUCACUGCCAAUUCUGCAGUAACCUUGCAGAAGCACAAGAUUGGGAUGCUGAGCUUUUGAUAACGUCUCCACUUCUGCUUUGAACUCCCGUUCCAUCUGACCAAAAUCACCUGAUAGUCGUUUGAUAGCGAUUGCUGCUCCAUCUUGCAAUGUUGCCUUGUACACUAGACCAAAGCCACCACAACCGAUGAUGUUAGCCUGAUCAAAGUUGUUUGUCGAUUUCAAAAUGUCAGCGAUGGUCAAUGCCUUAUCAGCCUUGUCCUGAAACAGUAGUACCAGUGAGGCUGGUGCCAACUCGAGGGCUUGAUUAGUAUCUUUGACAGCCUUUACUGUAUGAUCCUGCUUGUUGAAGCUACUCUUCAGCACAAAUAUAACAGCAAUAGAUAAAAUAAAUGCUGCCCCAACUGCAAUACCCAUAGCUAUUCCAAAUAUGAUGCCCUUGUUCUUCCUCUUAUUUGUUGCAGCAAUUGUAGGAGCAGGAGUUGAAUGACACCGGGGUAGGCCUAGGCGAAUGCCACAGAGUUUGGGGUUACCCUCAUAAGCAGAACUACUGAAUGUCGAGAAUUGACCUCC